rnacentral:lncRNA from 1 species
AUUUUUAAAUAACAUUGAAAUAUAAUAAAAAUAGAUGAGUGUCGCAGUCCAAAAUGGAUUUGCAAGACCAGAAAAAACCUUACCAUGAAGAAUCACAACUGGGCUGCGACCUCAAAGAUGGAUAAUCACUUCUACCUACAAAUAAACAACAAUUAAAUUUAGACACAAGAUUUUUUUUUCUUGUAAUUUGCAAGGAUGUAAUUGCAUCCAACUCUUGUCCAUACCUAUUAGAGUUAUAACAGAUCAGUUUUACUUCAAAUUCAAAAAUUAGAAAAUCAGCACCAUUAUGAGUUUCAAAGCAAUAUCAAUAGCAAGGUUUCUAUUAGUUCUAUACAUGCCAAACAUUUUAAUGAAUAAAAAAUAGGAUUUUAUAAGCCCUAUACAUUCCACAGGCAUUUAACAGUUAACUCGCAAUUUCAGCAAUAUUACAUAUUAGAUAUACUUCUUUCUCAUUAGCAAAUAUCAUCAUAAUGCAUACUUAUCAGAAAAUCAUUUCCGGAAUGCGGCAAAUCCAUAUGUAUACAUUGUAUUGUACUGUCAUAAAGGGAGAGGUAUUGGUGCUACAAUAUAUAUGUAUACAUUGUACUGUACUGUCAUAAAGGGACAUGGGCAGGGAGGGCUGUGUGCAUCAACAAGAUCAUUAGUUUAGAAUAGCUACAUGACAUCAGGUUUGUAGUCUCGUUGAAUAAUUGGACGGAGAUCAUGAAGGAGCAGAUAGCUAGCCACAGGGGGUUGCCUGUUAAUAGUGCUUAUCGCUGAUGUCGGUUAAAGCUGGUAAUGGUACUGCUACUUCAUACUGGUCAAUUGUAUUUGUGCUAAAGUAUAGGGUGUCUAAAAUCUUGGUUAGGGAUAUGUCCCUUGUGGGUUUUUACCUGAUGAUGUACAGAUUAUGUCCAUGCUGAUCAGGGGUGUAUUUCAAUUCUUGAUGAUUAAUAUGUCUCACACUUUUAUCAAAAAAAAAAAAGUUAUAAAGAAAUGAAAAUUCUGAAACCGAAAUCACGACACAUAGGGUAUACUAUACUAAUAGAACAAAAAUCAGUUUUCAUUAACCAAACCUUGUAAAAUAAAUUAGUAAUAAUUAUCAUCUUCACCAGUAUAUACAUAUACAUUAGCAUGAAACGUUUUUAAAGAAAAUCACAGUAAUAUAGAGUUGGGCAACACGUCCAAACACACACAUUAUCACUCACAGAUCAUUCCAUAUAUGCCCAAAAUUAUAAAUUAUCCUCAAGUAGAUAUUUAUAUAAAAGAAAACAAAAUAAAAGUUCCAAAGUGACGAAAGACUUGGGUUGGAUUUUCGUAUGGGAAGUUGACAUCCCCAGUUCCCCACUAAUGUUAAAGUUUUCAUAUGGUGCUUGGCUUGGAAGAAAACAUUCACAGUGGAUAAGCAAAGGAAAGGGGACUGCACUUGGCAAAUAGGUGUUCUAUAAGCAAAUGUUAAGAGGAGACUGCUGGGCACUUAUUUUUGGGAUGCUCCAAGGCUGUGGAACUAUGGUAGAAUCUCAUUAGAGGGUGCCCUGAAGUAGCGCAACUAAUUCAAGAACAACAGUGUGUUAUGACUUAUGAUAGUUCUGAAUUUGUGGCCAAAACUGAAUCUGACUAGCCUUUUUUCUGGUGUAUAUGGACAACAAGAAACUGAAGAAAUUGGAGUCCUCUGAUCAAAUGUGUUUGGGCAACAGUUGUUGUGAGUGGAAUGGAAGGAAUAUGGCAGGCUAGAAGCAUGGUCAACAUAGGGGUUGGGAUCACUGUUUUCUAUACCAAAAUGAUUACUAAGUAUGUCACUUUGACAUCUAAGCAAUCAAAGGCCUCCAAUUACAGUACUGCAGUUGGGAUGGAUAUUUUAGAUGGGUGGGGCAUUACACCAACAUGUGGAAGAAGUUUUUCUGUGAAGGAAUGCCAUUGGCUUCCCUCUCAAGAGCUUGCAGUCAAUGCCAAUACAGAUACAACGAUGAGUUUCUAAAUAAAAAUAAGAUAACCCCUAAAAAUUUCAUCUUUUCUUACAACUAAACUCAAUCAACAAAUUAAAACUCCACAAACAAAUUGAUCAACAGGGGGAAACUCAAAUUCAAAAACAAUUGUCAAAUCAAACAUACUACUUGAAAUCCAACAAUCCAAUUCACAUAGUAAUUGAAAUUUCAUUCAACAAUAAAAUUACCUAAUUUUUCUUCGGUUUUAAUCCUCUAACCACCAUACAACUCCAAGAAUAAAGAGAGAAGAUCGGAGAGAUACAGUGAAGGGGAAGAGAUACGGUGAAGAUCGGAGAGAUACAGAGAACAAAAAAGAGAGAGAAGAGAGAUA